UACGAAGGGGGCUAGCGUUGCUCGGAAUUACUGGGCGUAAAGGGCGCGUAGGCGGAUAGUUUAGUCAGAGGUAAAAGCCCAGGGCUCAACCUUGGAACUGCCUUUGAUACUGGCUAUCUUGAGUACGGGAGAGGUGUGUGGAACUCCGAGUGUAGAGGUGAAAUUCGUAGAUAUUCGGAAGAACACCAGUGGCGAAGGCGACACACUGGCCCGUUACUGACACUGAGGCACGAAGGCCAGGGGAGCAAACGGG
rnacentral:rRNA from 1 species